rnacentral:siRNA from 1 species
UCCUACGAAAACAAUGACCUCAAC